GAACUUGGAGAAAUGGGAUACGAAGUGAAUGCUGCAGUUACCACAAGCAUCGUAUUUAUCAAAAGGUUUAAGGAAACAGAAGGAGAAAAAAGCAACCUUACACUGUAGCGGGAAAGAGAGUUUCGCUCAACAAACAGAAGCCCUUGACUUCAGAGGUGAAUAAUCCCAGAAACAAGCUACCAAGAGCGGUGGUCCUGGUCACUGGACUUGGCAGGCAAACCAACUGAAUGGAAAUUCUGAAGACCACAGUAGGAGUUUUCUCUUUGUGGGUUUUGGAUGGUAAAAUCUUCAAUCUGUUCCACAGGCAGAAAUCAG
rnacentral:lncRNA from 1 species